UACCAGAUUUUUUCUUUAAAAAGUAUUUCCAUUUCAGUUCCCCCAGCUGAAGAAAAUGUCGGUAUCCUACAGAAAAAGGUUCAACUACCGAAGCAGAUUUGAAUACUGAUUUAAAUAGGGCUGUAGGAGAUUGAAUGAGUGGCUCAGAAGACCACACCAGAACCCAAUACAGUAAUCAUAUCUUUAGUAAGAAGUUUAUGACAUGAUUGGGACUUCAGGAUUGAACAACACUGUUGUGUGAUUAUGAAUGUGGGGUGUCUGGCGCUGUCCGAUGCCUUAUCUGCCUUAACCCGUUCAGGGGGCAGCCAGUGGCGAGUCCACAACCUUGUGACCAUGUGUACUGCCUUGCCUGCAUCACUGAAUGGGCCAAGAUUUCAAACUCCUGUCCAGUCGAUCGUCUGAAAUUUGCAGUCCUCUACCAGAGAAGUUGUGUUGGAGGGGAUAUUAAAAAAAUAAUUGCAGUGGAGCCGAAUGAUGGUCAGGGACUAGAAGAUGAAGGAAGAUUUGAGGAGUUGAGCAUGUGUGAGGAGUGUGGCAGGAGUGACCAGAGACACCUGAUGCUCCUCUGCUCUGCCUGUGACUCAAGAUUCCACAUAGCCUGCAUUCAUCCACCUUUGGCCACCGUACCAGUUGAAGAUUGGUUCUGCCAGGAAUGUGCCCCUGAGGACAGAUGCUCUAGAGAAGAGAGCGAAAUAACUGACGACGAAAUGACCAAGCUGCUAGCCGAAGUCGUCCAGACGUCCACUUUUCUCAGACCUUCUACUACAGCGCAGCGUACCGGUUCAGACCACACCCGCAGGAGCCAGAGAGCACGGCAGCGUUGCAGGAGAACACACACCACUCAGCCUCAGACAGUCCAGCAUGUGCCCAGAUACCUUUUAAAAUCGAACUGUUCUUACAGCGAAGACGCCACGACAAGCAACAUUUUAGUAAACACUUUGAAAGAAGACAAGAAGGUCACAGUUAAGAAAAAAAGAAGAUGGAAUACAGGUGUGCAGGAUUCUGUGUGAUUACCCCAAAACCGUAAUUUGUUUCUAGAUUUUUCUACGAGACUACAAUGUUUUGCAUAUGGCCACAAGAGGGCAGCAGUUUAUUUGAUAUUGGACAGAUGGAUUGUAAGAUACAUUAUAUGGACAAAAGUAUUGGGACAUUUCCUGCCAAAUGUGGUUCUGCUCCAAACUGUUACUACAAAACUGGAGGCACACAAUUGUACAGGACGUCUUUGAAUGAGGUAUAAA